ACCUGGAAUGUUUAAAAGGAGAAUCGACACACAGUAUAAUCUCAGUAUCCUUACACUUUUCUGGAUUUCAACAGUCAGCAUUCUUAAUGCAAAUAUACUCUCUUUUUUAAAAAAGACAAGAACUUUAUUUUAGAAAACUUUCUCUGCUGAGGUAAUGGCUUUUGAACUUUCUGUUCUCAAACAUCACCUUUUUGAAGCCUAUGCUCUCUAUUCUCUCUAACCUCUGAUUUCAUUCUCAAUUGUCUCAGUAUUCACUGACAAGUUUUAGAAGAAAGAAUUGGGAGUAAUUGCUUCUCAGUAUUACCAGAACUAUGCCACAUCUUCCUGGCUCUCUUGAGAAGAGGAAGCGGUGAGUUUAGCAGGCUGAAGAGGACCCUGCACAUAGGUGCCACACUUCUUUACCAGGUACUCCAUCUUUGAGUCUGUGUAUAUUGAGCAUUUUCCUGUCUUAGGAAGCCACUCUAGGAGAAGACUCAGUAUUCUGAGCCCCAGGACACAUGAAGUGAAGCACUCAGACAUGUAUUCAAAUUUAUCUUAACAUCUCAUUAUUUUUUCUGGCCAAUUAUUCCUUCAGACUAAUGACACAGAAUUACCUCAAAGAAGUGGGAAGGGUCUCUUCACAUCAGUCAGUGAGGAAAGGUUUCUGUCUUCCAUAGGGAUCCUGACUUCUCUUGCUAAUAUUUUUUCUGCUGUAUUUUCAGUGAAAAAUGUCAAUUUGCUUACAAAUUCUGACUGAAACUCUUGAAUCUGGUAUGUAUGUUAAGAAUGUUGAGAACAUCUGAACCAAUCACUAAUGACUUUACUGGGAUAAACCUCCACCAGAAUUAGUAUCACGUUGCCUUGCUCUUCUAUAAAAAGCUUACUGUCAUUAGUACUUCUUCCAAAAGCCUACUGAAUGAAUGUGAUUUCUCAUUUCCUAUGUAUAUGUAUCCUACAGACAUAUCCUGAAGUGUGUGAAAGCUGGCAGAAGAAUAAACAUCUGUUAAGACAAGAGUGAACUGCAACGGUUAAGAGGACAACAACAACUUAUGAACAUAUUGUGGAAGAAAACUAGUCCAGUUUUGAAAAAAGCUUGGAUUUACUCAAUGCUGAGAAUCUGGCCUUAGAAAGAACAAACAAAAAUCUCGUAAAAAUGGAUUACCUGUAGACAUCCGCCUUGUUAUCAAACCAGUCAGACAGGACUCGGAAAGUAAACAGAGGAAAACGUUGAUGAAGAACAUGAAAGCCCACAUUUUCAAAGGUGUAAUUCAUUAGAUUCACCUACAAAAAUGCAGAGGAUGUGUUAACAUGCACAAAGUCUUUCACAGUCAAGGAAAUCUGUACCUUUAAAGAACACUAACAACUAAUUUAUUGCUUUUUUAUUAGUAUUCUUUGUUACCUAAGUGUAAACAUCUAUAUUUAGAAGUCCCUAACUAUUUACAAGUCAUGAAAUAAUAUCCCUCAUCAAUUGAAGAGACUACACAGAAUUAGAGGGAUCACAAAGACCAGGUCUGAGUUUGAUCAGAGCAAAGUCUUUUAAGAUUGAAUCAGCUGAAUGUUGAAUGUGAAGUCAUGACCAGCAGAACCAGUAAGUCUGAGAACUCAAAAUAAGUUCAAGUACUUAAUUUAGUGUAACUGCUGCACUAGCUGAUUUGUUGAAAUGGCUAAGUUGGCUUCAGUAUUUUACAUUUUAGUGAUACACAAUAUCUAUUCUCACAGAGUAGCAGACAGAUCUGAAAAGGUGUACUAAAACAAAAAGGUCCGUAAGUAAACUGCUUUUAAACAUUACCUCAUUUCUCAUCAUUCUCCAAAUAUUUAAGAUAAUUCUCCCAACAAUAUUUAUUUCACUCAUUGUAUCCGACCCAUAUUCAUCCAGCUCAGCUGCGAAUCUGUUCUCUUUAUUAUCAUCUAAAGGCAUUAAAAGAAAAUAUAUUGAGACAAGUUAGAGUACAGUCAACAUUGUCUAUCUGCUCAUUAGAGGGGUCUACAAAAAUAAUACUGACUGUAAAAGAUCGCUAAAUAAAAUUUCUCCAAGUUUUUUCUACUCUUUCACAUCCCUCUGAAGAUAACUUUUUUGUUUCAUUGAAAUGGUGUCCAUGGCAAUAUAUUCUCCAUAGUGAAUAUACUGGCUAAGUAACGUUGAUGUUACAUGAGAGCUAGCUGCAAGUUUAUCAGUGCAUAAUACACACAAGAAGAGUGACUUCAGCCCCAAAGAAUUUAUAACUCAAGGUUUUAGUUCUAGUGGUUUUACACAAUUGGAACCAAGUCACAGGAGAGAAAACUCAGCACUUUUUAUUCUGUGAAAGCAAAAACCUUACAGUGGGAGGAGGUACACGUAAAUUCUGGAUAGCACAAAUGGAGAGAGAAGGAAACAGGAAGGAACAAAUAUAGAGACAGAAGUAGCAAUCUGACUUUCUGUAACACAGUGGUGAUUACCCUAUAAGCAAGAUAAGCUUUUUCCAUCUUUUUUUUAAUACACUGAAAUAUUAGAACACAGGAGAAGACAGUCUCUGGUACACAUUCCUUGAAAAUGUCUUUCUUUCAGUAAACCUGAGGCUACAGGUUUGGUAUCCUUUCCUGAAAAAUCUAACAAAAGUGAGGAACUUAUAUUUCCCCCCCUUCUUUUCUUUACAUUUUAAACAGAAGGCAGAAAUUACCGCAGUGUUUUUCCAAGACUGCCUACUUUCUCCAGCGUUACUCUGGGUCUCCUCUUCUGACUUCUUUAGGAGAUUCACUAUGUAUCUCAAGUUCCCUUCCUGUCUUGCUGGUAAAGACAGGUGACUGAGGACACUGUGGUCACAAGAGACCCGUUCCCCCAUUGAGCAAGAGAAUUUGCAUACAAGGUGCAUUACAGAAUUACAAAAACCUGCAAUGCUGUACAGCUGGCAUGGGGAAUUCAUCACCAGAACCAUCUAAGAUACUUUGGAAGGAGAACUGGACAUUUUUCCUACCUUUCAAGUGUGUGAGGUGAAACAAAAAGAAGUUUCCCCUCAUCCUGUUCCCUACUCCCUGCUGUUGAGUUGUGAUGCAAAGAAGGAAACAGGAGUCCACAGUGCACACAGAAGAAAAAAAAUGCCACUCAGCUCAGGCACAGUACUCACUUAUCUUGUGGUGUGUUCUAAUGAUUUAUGUAUAGUUCACUUCUAAAUGGCAGAGGCAGCAUCAGACCCAGCCAAUAAAGCCAAACCAGAGAGAAGUCCAGCUUUCUUUAAGUUGAAAUCACAGGAAAGGGAAGGAUAAAUACCUUCCAUCUGUAUUUCAAAAGGAAGAAAGAGCAGCAUGCUGCUUGAAGGAGCACUUCCCGUUCUGAAAAUACAGUAUGUGAAGAAGGGAUGGAAAUAUGAAGCAUAGGGGGUGGAAAAGCAACAGGAAUAUAGAAGGGGUAAAAACCAUGGACAAGGAGACCACAAAGCAACAGAGAACACAACAUUUGUACAUUUAUGGUCAUGCAUGCAAGCCCAUAUUUAUGGCACAACAUUUUAGGAGGAGCUCAAUGUGAAAAUUUCCUUAUCUUUCUCCUGUAGUUCAAUGAAAAAAAAAAUUACUUACAUUACUUACCUUAAAAUAAUGUAUUUAUAAGAACUAGUGUUAAGUGUUAUGUAUUCCACUUCUGGGGUACAUUAAACACCCGGCACAAGAAUUUGUGUACUAUGAAUACUGGUGCUGUGAAGACCAUGCUUAUGUCAUGCAGGUUCACAGAACCUAGGUUCAUAGGUUUUUAUUUCCAAAGAUAUUAAGAGCUACAACUCUGUAUUCCCUCACUAUAACUGAACUCAAGUAAUGUAGGACUCUAGCUCCAGGGAAGGAAGCCUGAUUCUGAAAUACACAGAGAUAUCACCAAGAACCAGACAAGUUCCCAGGGAGGUAACCUUUCUUCUUUGAGUAACUUUUCAUGUGUAUUCCACUUUUAGUAAUUUCAGCAACAGCUUGCUAUGAAGGUGUAUACUGAAGAGAGCUUUGUUGAUAUAACUGUUGAUUCUGCAACAACUAAAGUGUGGGCACAGCUGUCCUGCAAGACAAGAGCUGUGAUCCUGUCUGACAACAAGAGACACGUUAGUUACUGAACUGAAGUUAACAAACUGCCCUGAACUGAAGAGACAGUUGAGUCACAUUUCCACAGUAGAGCAGGAAGCCCUUGUGAUCUUUGGAGGUUUAAGAAACCUUUGAGUGCAACACUUAACAUUAAUCUUACCAAAGAUAUUGCUAAUCUUGAAGCAUAAAGGGCCAAGAGGUUUUCUGAACAUCCUUCAAUACAUCUUAAGACUAUAUCCCAAAGUACUAUUAUUGCAACCACUGCAUCACCUCAACUGGAGCCAUCAAAGAAAUUCAAUGACAAGAUUCGUGCAAUUAGCUGUUAUUCCUGCAGAACAAAUUUGAGAUCUUUAUGCUGAAGAGGGAAACUCAUGACCUUGGAUGACCAAUUUAAGCAUAAACUGUUCUGUGCUUCUGCAUUUAUAUAUUAAGCACUUAAAAGUCCAGCUGCAAACAACUUUCAACUGGAGACAUAAAUUUGUUCCUAUAUUUUCUUGUCCCUGAGUGGUCUGUGUAACUCAGGCAUUACCUAAACAAGUCACAGUUAUCAACAGCAUACAAAAGAUUUUUAAAGUAUAAAAGGAGCCCAUAAAUACUCAAACUUCAAGAAAGAAGUGAGUGAAAGCUUUUAAAUGAGACAAUCACAGGCAAGCACUCCUUAUUUCAUGGCUAUUUAGUUUCUGUACAGAUCUUCAGCAAGAACCCUGUCAAAAGCAACUUUUGCUGUUGUUUUUGAUUUUUAAUAUCUCCUUUAUUCACAGUUUUUUUGACAACCACAAAGAGCUACAACAGAUUUUUUGGUAAAUUUUUACUUCAUAAAACUAUUGACUUUUCUCAAUUUAUUUUUUCAGCUGCUCACUAAUUGUAAUCUUCAGAAUGUCAGUCUCCGUUAAUUGGCUAAGUGUAGACUAAAAGGUAACACUCCUAGAUAACUUUGCUCAGGUUCUCGAGAAAGAAAACAGUGCACACAGAUCUUUUUCUGAAUGCUGGAAAAAGGCAUCAGCAGGUAGGACAGUAAUGUUUCCCCAUAGUACAUGAAUGGCCAUUAAAAGCAAGGGUUUUAUUACAAACCAGGAACAUCUUUAAUGUCAUUGUACUCCAGCUGCAUGUAAUAAUUAUGGCAGCUAGCAGGAAUAUAGAUAUGACUGAAGCCAUAGAGAAGAACAGUAGCAGAAACACCACCAGGAACCUAAAACUUUCUGUAAUUUAUUUGUGCUAUGAAAUUAUAAUUAGAACUAACAUCAAAAAGUAUACAAUGCACAGAAAAAAAGAGACUGGUUUUCAGCGCUGAGCUGAAAAGUUUCAGUACGUUGUACUUCAGGCUUUCUACUUUGGGAUGCAGCAGAAUAUGCAAAAUGGGAUCACGGCAAAAAAACACACAACUAUUCAAAAAGAGUUUAGAGUCAGGCAUAUGGGACAUACCCAGAAGUGGAAGACACAAGACAUUUCAAGAUUCAGCAGAUAUUGAAAACCGCUAUCUCAUUGCUAUUUAUUUUUUUUGAAAUUAUACCCAUAACACAACAGCAAUAACAUAAAAGAGGCCUGUAUGAAAAAUUACUCUGCGUUUUUUAUUUAUAGAUUUCAACUUUUUUUCUGCUGUAACUGAACUGAAACCCUAUAUAGUAACUUACCUGGCACACGAGAAAUCAUCUGGCAUAAAUCAACAUUUAAUGCAGCAGCCCUCUGUAAGAGAUAACCCCAGGAAUGCAUCUGGACUUCAUAGCCUAACAAAAUGUCUGGGUCAUAUCUAGAGAGGUGGGGGGGAAAAGAAAAUGAGCUUCAUAUUAUUUAAGAAAAUAUUUUCCACGAGCAGAAUAUAAACAGGAUUUCAUUCUUAUUAUGGUCAAAAAGGGAUUUUUGUAACAUAAAACUGAAAAAAAAAAAUAGGAGAAAUAUUUUCAUUGGAAAAGCAUUUUUUUUAAUAUAUACCUAUGAUGUUUUAGCCUUUACAAAUAAAGAACAAAAUUGAAAUCUAAUAAGAGCUGUAUCAAGCAUGAUUACAAGCUUACCACCUGCAGAAGGCAGGCACAAUCAAACACAGCCUAUUCCUCAACAUUUGCUGUACUAUUUUUCUUUAUGAAAUAGAAUUUGCUACUAGGCUAAUCAUUUUUUUUUUUUUGCAAGUAUCAGUGUGUCUUGCAUACUGCAGUGUAUUGUAUAAUAAUCAAAGGACACUCCUGGUCCUCAGUGAUGACUCUUCAUAGGGAAAAUUAAAACUGACAAUUGAAUGAGUUGUCAAAACGGGAACAUGGAGAAAAGCAACCUCACGUGCCAGAUCUACUUAAAUACCUCUUACUGUAAGAUAACAUUUUUCUUUCUAUAAGAUACACAAGAAAUACUGAUUUUAUGCUGUACCUCAUGCCAGGUGGAAAAUUUGACUGGUUCGGGUAUGACAGAAAGAAAAGAGAGUUAAUUUCUGACACAGUAGCUGCCCAGCUUCCAAUUUAGGUCUCAGAGAAGAUUUGACUAGAAAGGAGAACAAGCAAGGUGACUUCAAAGCCAAAGUGCAGGUAGGAGUUGGCUCAGUGGAGCAUGCAUCACCUACCUUUUAAAAAGGCACUAUUAAAAAUGGAAGACAUUAUUUGAGCAGCUAGUCAUAUGCAGAAGAGCUUAAGAACAAUUUUCUUGGGCUGGGAAGAAAAAGAUGAUUUGAGUUGGAAGGGAACUCAAAGAUCAUCUAGUUCUAACUCUCCUGCCACAGGCAGGAUUGCCAGGUCCCCAUCCAACCUGGCCUUGAACACCUCCAGGGAUGGGGCAUCCACAGCUUCACUGAGCAGCCUGUUUCAGUGCCUCACCAUCCUCUGAGUAAAAAAUUUUGUUGUAUCUAAUCUAAAUCUCCCCUUGUCCUAUCAAGUAGGCAGGGUUCCUGGCUUUCUGCAUCCUUAAACACAUUACAAAUGCCAACAUUGGCUGACUGCUUGAUAUAGGAGUUCUCCACACUUCUGCCAUAGACACUUUGUGAAAAAUAAAGUAUCUGAAUCUUCUUAUUCAGCAUGAGCAUCUCUUUAUUACAAUUUGGGCUCUUUUUACUACCUAGCUGAAAUUGCAAACCCCUUUUCACACCUACUUCCACCUGUGUAGGAAUGGCUUUGAUAAAAUUUUUUGCUAGAGCAGAAGUAUAUUUUUGAUUUCUAGCAUUCUGGAGAUAUGAAAAGAAGCAUUUUGUAUCUGGGGGAUAUUCUGCUAUUUGCUGUUAAUAUCAAAUGAAUGCUUUAUUUGUUUCUGGACAAAAGAAAUAUAUCCAUAGUCUAAGAAAAAUAUUCACUUCUAAAUUCCAUUCUAACUGUACACAGUGGUGCAAAACCAAAGCUACUUGAACUUUUUAUGAACAAACAAAAGCAACUAGCCUGCAGCUCCUUUCAGUAGCAGUAGCACAGUGUCAGAAAGUUAUCACCACUUGCACACCACAAUCACACAAUGAUUGUGAACUGAGGUUCCAAAACUAUAAACUGUUUCCAUCUAACCUUUGAAACCAGAAGGAAUUAUGUAAUGCUCGAUAUAGUUAAAUAACAGACAUAAAAUUUAACAUUUAACAUUUUCACAUUAAUUCUUGCACCUAAAUCAUCCAGGUAUCAGCAUAUCACAAAAUGUUGUUUGUUAUUUAAAAUGUAGGAAAGCCUUACAGAAGCCUUACAUUUUCAUUCAUAUUAGAAAACUGGUUUCACACUGUCCAAAAUGGAAAAUACUUGUAGAUUUUAGGCAGGGCAAGAAGUUAUCCACACAGGUUCUAUGACAGAUGUAUACUUGAGUGAGAAACUUGAGAAGAACUGCUUAUGUGGUAUGAAAAACAUGAUUCAUUAUGCCAUGGAUGGCAUGUUCCUUUAUGCUAGUUCUGAACAGAAACCAACAUACUGUUCGUAAGUAGCAAGUCACUGUAACUACACUAGCAGCUGCCAUGGACCAUGAGGGAAAGUUGUUUUGUGUUUCUCCUUGCAGGAAUAGUACAUCACCUCCCUCACUUCCUACUAAGGAGAAGACAAGUUUUCUAUUUUUCAUCCUUCCUUAUCACAGUUUUUACAGUACACUAACCAACUGGCCUUCAUCACCAGUUUAAGCUGUCUUACUCAACAAGACCCGCUUUCAUACCUGCAAGAAACUACCACAUUGUAGCACUGAUUUUUGAAAGCUGUUGGCUAGGACUAACAUGACAGGAACAAGAGGUAAGCCUGCCAACAUAGUGCUCUUUUGUUAAAAGGAUGGGCACUGAUACUGCUUUGCAUGCUGUUGCCAGUCUCUCUGCAAAGAUGAAAAGCAGCAUUUAUACUGGCAGGAUUUAAACAUGACAGCAUUAGCAUUCAACUCAUACAUGCUGCAGAGAGAAGAAAUAAGAUUAUUUUCCUUUCUAGCUAAGUUAUGUGUGCUGUUAUGCCAUCUCUUCCACUUUCUCAUCUGAUAAUUUCAUGAAUGAAUUCUAAAGCUCUCAAUUAUGCCUUCCCUUCUAUUAUGAGUCUGCUUUUCCUGACUGCUAUUUUUCUUCCAGCUAAAAUUGAGAGAAAAGGGGGGAAAGAAAAUUAGGCCAGACCUACAACACAGACAAAAGCAGAAUAACUGGUGACUCAAACACAUAAGCAAAAGCUCUGAAAGCGUUUUUCCAGUUUGCUUUGGACAAUAAAAAUCCAUGAAGUUGAUAAAGGACAUUACGCCAUUAAGCAGAGAUGUCUACAGGAAUAUUCCAGAGGAUGGUACUAGCCUGGGAAAAGAAGGUUAGAUUAACACAUCUCUAUUUUAUACUGGAAAUGCUGCUAGAGCAUUUGCAGAUGAAUAAACAUAAUGCAUUGCAUUUAAUUCAAAAUUUUAAUUUGCACCAUGUUUUAUAACAUAAACACCAUAUAAAACAUUUAAACACUAAGCAAUAAUAGCUAAUUAAGUUACCAAUGAUUUAUCCCCCACAUCUUUAAGAAAAUCUUACAUUUUUAUCCUCUUUUUAUGCUUUAAGCAGAAACUACUUCCACAGGACCAAAGUACAGUGCAUAGCUAAUGAGUAACAGUGAAUUUUCUACCUUUUUUUCAAGCCCACUGUGUUUCCAAAUUCUCUGCAUGUCACAGAGAUGGGGACUGUGCAUUCCCACAUAAGUUCCCCAAAUAUUGCUCCUCUCGUGCUUGCAGGUCAGCCCUUUUCUGCAAUCUUAUGAUAUUUGUACAGAAAAGAGGCAUAAUUUACAUUAAAACUGAAAGAGAGGCCAAGACAUUUAAUUUCUCUUUCAUGGGAAUCCACUGCUCCAUCAGGCUUGGAUAUCUCUAGCAUUCCUGCCUUUUUCUUUUAUCUUUCUUUCUUUUUUUUUUUAACAUCUCCAAGACAAAUCCCUGUAGCAUUCCAUUUCUCUUCCUUCAACAGCCAGCUUUUCUGUGUUCUGUACUGACUGGUUUCUGGAGCUAUAUAAAUGUGUUUACCCAUUUUUCUGCCUUUGGGUUCUGAAAGAGAGGUGAUUUUGUUUUACUUUUUUGCAGGCAGACAGAUUCUUCUGUUUUUCUCCAACUCACUGCAGCUGACACCUUCUGAUAAAGAGAAGGGCUACUGAGGAAGACUGUUCAGGUAGCACCACAGAAACCAUUAGCACAUCAGUAUAGAUACAGGCUCCAUAUCAAGACAAAAAAUGUACUUCCCCUAUGGCAACUCCAAAGAGCCUCAUUGACUCCAGAGGAUGGGUGGGAUGUUUUUCGGCUGCUUUAUGCCAGUUUUGAGCUCAAGUCCUACUUUCUUGUUUACAACCAGAGGACAGCUUACCAAAGAGAAAUAUGGACUUAUGUAGGUGAAGCUUCCUCUCAAACUGCGCCAAAUUAAUCAGACAUCUGUUCAUUUCACAGAAGAACCGUUAGGCUGGUAUUUAUUUUACCUAGGUAUCUGCUUUGUCUUGUUGGAAAAAUGCUUAUCUUGCUGUACUCAUUCAGACCUAGCAAACACUUUCACAAUGAAAGUGUAACUCAAUCGAACUUCAGCUAACCAAUUCCACUGUACUUGCUGAAGUAAUAUUCAUUUUCAAGGAAUAUGUAAAACAGUAACUUAGCUAUAAAAAGAUGUGGUAGACUCUCUUCAUUGACAAAUGGCUAGUGGUACAGCCCAGGAAUAAAAACGUUUCAAGCAUUAAAAUCUCA